AUCUAGAGUGUUAAGUCUGCUGCUGCUGCUGCUGCUGCUGCUAAGUCUAGAAAAGAUCAAACACAGAAUCCAACUGUCUUGGAUGAAAUCCAGUCUCAGUAGCCUCUCUUUCAAGACUCCUCAGAAGAGAGUGCAUGCCCAGUGCUCAAUCAAAAUGGCACAGAUCUCAAGUUCUCCCCUCCGCCACUGCUUCUUCCUUGAAGACAACUCCCAGUCCUGACUUAUCACUGGAGAUUCCAGCUGAAUGCAUAAGGACACACGUACUUAACACCAGCCACAAUUUACGUUGGAAGAAAGAGGAGACCACUUGGAGAAUAAAGGAGAAAGAGCCAACACACACUCAGCGUGGGACUGCCAACCAUGAGCUUGAUUCGGCCUUUGAGACGUUUCAUUUCGCAAGCUGAGAUUACAAUAGCAAGCGUGUACCCAUAUUCGUGCUAAAACCUUAUUCAUGAACCUGCUGUUCUGCUGUAAUGAUGGAAAGCUAGACUCAUUCCAAGUAGAGGAGUGAGCUACAGCCAACUUUCGAUUAAUGAAGGACAGCUGAUCGGACUUGGAGCUCCUCUGGGGGUCCGGCAGGGCCACAUUUCUGUCACAUGCACCAUUUUAUUCUCCGCUUUCCUGCACUGAGGCAGAUCCUGGGAAGGAGCCAUAAAUUACUUUCGAUCACGCACAUGCCAUCAGUCGGUUGGAGGAGAUGGGAUGUUGAUCUGCCUCUUUGGGGAAAAGGAGGCAGCUAGAUUGACCCUCAACCAUCUCUAGAUGCUUCAAUUGUCAUCUUCUGCUUGUCUCCUCCUCGCUCUUCCUUUCCUCUCCUUCUGCUCCGGAUUGCAGCUAAGGAUCUAAAGAAGUAAAGAAGUUUAGGCUUGAAUGC